UUUUCUUGGAAUCUAACUUUCCCUUAAGAGCUACGCUAUCAUGAACAUGCUAAUGUGAUUUCCUUAAUAAAAUGUGGGAAAAUUAAAAAUAAUAUUAAAACAAGAUUAACCAUAUUUUUUAUUGGUUUAGGUUUUUUUUUUUCAAAAUCAAGCUGGGAUACUUUUAUUGAAGUAAAAAAACCCAAACAAAAGAAAAAGCCCAACAAAGUUAAAGACAAUCGACCUAAAGACCAACACUGGAGCCUAAACAUCAAAACCUGAACAAAAAAAUCUAAAAAUAAAAUAAAAUGAUAAAAUAAAAUAAAUGCCUAGAUAAUCCCAAUCUGUAAUUAAUGAUAUGUCUCCAACUUUCCUCUUUUCAAUAUUUUCUUUUCAUUUGGUCAGAUCCAGAAGCCUGAGAGUUUUGUGACCAAAUUCAAGAAAAGGGGCCUCUUAUCUCCCAGUUUACUAUUUCGCCUUCUCCUUUCAUCAAUCUAGUUCUUUUGGUCGUUUCAUCUCUAAUUGUCAUUGAGCAUAUCUAGGAAUACCUCCCAUCAGGUAAAUUGUUUCUUUCUUCUUUAGACCCAUCGUGGAUAGGUUAUGGGCUAACUAGUUAGCCGACUUGGAAACAAAAUGAAAAACUAAUGACCGAAAACUUUCUUUUUCCUUCUGAAUGUUUCUAUUGUGCGCACUAAUUUAUGAUUUAUCCACUAAUCUUUUGUUGCAUUUGUUAAUUAUGGAUCUGGAAUCCCCUUCUACUAAUACAUCUAUUAAACCCAAGUUGAUCCCUGUGAGCACAACUUCGAAACAGGUGAGGGCUUCUACGUAAAAGGUCGUGCCAACCGUCAUAUGCAAACAAGAGUUAGAGGCCAAAACUUUUUCGUUUGCAUUUCGUGCCACAAUCCUCAAAGUCGACUUAAGACACAAGCAAUCGAACAAAGCAUCAAAAUUGAUUUUAAUAGACUGACCUUUAGGUGGUUUCCAAUUCUCCUUCUUUCCCACAAAUGUAGUCUUUCUCUCUAUCAAACAAUCAAGUUCACGAACUUAGUUUUUGGUAAAAUUAGCUACUCCUAUUCCUGAGUGAGUUUUCCCUUCAUGCAGGUUCCUAUUUUUGUCUAACCAAGUCGACCAUAAUCCACAACCAAACAAGCAUUGUUGGGACUCCGUGUAACUUCUAAAUAUCCAGAUAAGCCAUUCAAAACAGUCCAUCU
rnacentral:lncRNA from 1 species